UAGACAUUUGCUGGGUGGCUGG
rnacentral:piRNA from 1 species